AAUGACUCUCGACAACGGAUAUCUCGGCUCUCGCAUCGAUGAAGAACGUAGCGAAAUGCGAUACUUGGUGUGAAUUGCAGAAUCCCGUGAACCAUCGAGUCUUUGAACGCAAGUUGCGCCCGAAGCCAAUAGGCCGAGGGCACGUCUGCCUGGGUGUCACACA
rnacentral:rRNA from 1 species